rnacentral:rRNA from 1 species
AUGUAUUUCCUGCAGCGUUGCAAUCAUUUGAACUAUGAAUAUAGCCUACACUGUUUAUUGGGUGGAAUUCUCAUGGAGGCUGCAAGUCAUCGCAAGGAUGGAGUUGUCUGGUUGCCUCUCAAUUUUGAUCAAGAGGGGCAGGUCCUUGCUACUGGUACCAUUGUUGUUCAGCCUAUGAGAUUGUGUUUGGUUGAAACUGAGAGCUUAUGUUCCUCAUGCAGUACUCUGCAUGACACACACGAACAAUUGGUAAGGACUUUGUUGGUUGGUUUUGUUCGCGAACUCAGUCCAACAAAUCUUAGUACAACUCCAGGAGGCAUACAAGUUACAGGGGACCCUCACAUGUCCAGAGAGAGUCGACAUUGCAGGACAAGGGAAUCAUCUAGGGGUGUUUCCAGGGCGAAUUUAAUGAGCUGGCUGCUUCUUAUGGAGAACACCUGGAGCUAUGUGAGGCCACUGCACCUGCUUGAAUUUGAACAUCUACAAGAGCACAAAAAGGGAAAUUCCAAUUUGAUUGAGGGGGCUGCAGUGAUUGGCUGUUUUGGUGCUCUGACUUACAAGUAUAAGAGGGCAUAUUUUUCUGGAAGGCAGUGUGGCCCUGGUAUUCUGCAGUUUAUCCUUGGAACUUGGGUAUCAGCUAUUGGGAACAUAUUACUUAUGAGCAAGCCCAAGUUAUCUGCAGUUUAUUGCGGACUAGACCUUCAUAUCCAUCUUGGUUAUUGGGGACACAUGAUAGCUAUGCUACCCUCAAUUACUGGUUAUCCACUCUUGGGUGCUCCUUAUGUGGUUCAGCACAUGCGUGAGUUAAUGCUUGCUUUCGGAAAAGGUCGGACGUGUUUACACUUCCAGGAGUCAAAUACCAGAUGGUUAUCACAUGUUACAACAGUUCUACAUCGUGUUGACAAAGAAAUUCAGCAAAGCGCAAUGCAUUCAAUUGUUGGAGCCACACCACUGGAUGCAAAAGGAAAUGAAUUGUUUACUGGAGGACCUCAGCCCAUUAUUCACUUCCACUUGCCAUGGAAGAUAAUUCUUAUGGUGCCUAUACUCACCAACUUGUCUGGCUUCCUUGAUGGCAUUCAGUGCAACACAAAGAAAUUAUUGAUUGCUUCCCUACAUUAUUCUACACCAUUCCAAUGGGUAAUUGCAGGACCAUUCUCUAAUUGCUUCAAUGUCAUCCUGGGAAACUUCUAUGUGCAUUACCUCAGAACGCUGAAACUGCAUUUAAGCGAGUGGGUGUCAUGUUUAUCAUUUUCUGCAGUGAGAUGCCCUUUUAGUUAUGGAUCAGAUUUUACUAUCGCGGGAACUAUGUCCACUAAAUUGACAGUUGAAAAGAAACAACCAUUGAACUGCUUUUGCCAAUUCUUGUGUGGGCUAAGGUUGUGGGAUCCUGGCAUUUCCCCAAUGACGGAAAAUAGCCACCUCGUAGUGCAGUUCAGGUUUGCAAUGGGAAUAGUCAAUGGGUGUUUGGGAAGCUCAGCCACAGUAUAUUGCUUAUGCUGGACAUGUCAGUCGUCUAAGGGAUGUUAUGUUGACACGUUUUGUGAUCUGGGUUAUGUAUUUCCGAAGGAGCAGAACAUGUUAUGCACUGUGUGGACUUCUUUUACGGCGAACCUGCUGUCCCGGGCAACACACGACAAGGACCAUGGGCCACUGAUACUUCUAACUACCGGAACACAUCAUCGACCAACCCGAGAUGAUGUGCUCUGGACAUGGGACCCUGGUGGUUUCACAUUGCUCGGCUUGGGAACAGGUCAACAUGUUCCUCCUGGAGGUAUAAUACAAAAUAUUCAGAAAUUUCACAUUGAGUUGGGCAGAUUGAACGCUACCAAGCACAUUUAUGGGGAGGAUUGCAAAUUCUUUCACCAGCUUGGGAUUAGCAGUACAAUCAUCUCCAUGCACAUACUACCACUACCACUACUACCAUAUGAUCAAGGUGGAUUAGCUCUUCGGCUAGACGAGUGUGGCGACAUUCCUAAUUCAAGGAUGUUCAUCAUCGACUUGAGGGCAAGCCAAAUUUCAAGGGAGGGAGAGUGUAACACCCUACCUAUGGGCUGCCACCAGGGGGUUUGUUACCUGGGCUUUGAUGGGCCGUGGACCAUCAUUGUGUGGAUUCGGUAG